rnacentral:rRNA from 1 species
GAGUUUGAUCUUGGCUCAGAACGAACGCUGGCGGCAUGCCUAACACAUGCAAGUCGAACGAACUCUUCGGAGUUAGUGGCGCACGGGUGCGUAACGCGUGGGAAUCUGCCCUUGGGUACGGAAUAACUCAGAGAAAUUUGUGCUAAUACCGUAUAAUGACUUCGGUCCAAAGAUUUAUCGCCCAAAAGAUGAGCCCGCGUAAGAUUAGCUAGUUGGUGGGUAAAGGCCUACCAAGGCUACGAUCUUUAGCUGGUCUGAGAGGAUGAUCAGCCACACUGGGACUGAGACACGGCCCAGACUCCUACGGGAGGCAGCAGUGGGGAAUAUUGGACAAUGGGCGAAAGCCUGAUCCAGCAAUGCCGCGUGAGUGAUGAAGGCCUUAGGGUUGUAAAGCUCUUUUACCCGGAUGAUAAUGACAGUACCGGGAGAAUAAAGCUCCGGCUAACUCCGUGCCAGCAGCCGCCGUAAG